CUCAGGAUGAACGCUAGCGGCAGGCUUAACACAUGCAAGUCGAGGGGCAUCGGGAGUAGCAAUACUGCCGGCGACCGGCGCAAGGGUGCGUAACGCGUGAGCAACAUGCCCGUAUCAGGGGGGAUAAUCCAUGGAAACGUGGUCUAAUACCCCAUAGUAAUUAUGUAAGGCAUCUUAUAUAAUUUAAAGCUUUGGUGGAUACGGAUUGGCUCGCGUGACAUUAGCUGGAUGGUAAGGUAACGGCUUACCAUGGCUACGAUGUCUAGGGGUUCUGAGAGGAAGGUCCCCCACACUGGAACUGAGACACGGUCCAGACUCCUACGGGAGGCAGCAGUGAGGAAUAUUGGACAAUGGAUGGAAAUCUGAUCCAGCCAUGCCGCGUGCAAGGAAGACGGCCCUAUGGGUUGUAAACUGCUUUUGUAUGGGAGCAAUAAGGGCUACGUGUAGUCCGAUGAGAGUACCAUACGAAUAAGCACCGGCUAACUCCGUGCCAGCAGCCGC
rnacentral:rRNA from 1 species